rnacentral:rRNA from 1 species
GACGAACGCUGGCGGCGUGCCUAAUACAUGCAAGUCGAGCGGACGGAUGGGAGCUUGCUCCCAGACCGUCAGCGGCGGCCGGGUGAGUAACACGUGGGCAACCUGCCUGUAAGACUGGGAUAACUCCGGGAAACCGGGGCUAAUACCGGAUAACUCUUUCCCUCACAUGAGGGAAAGCUGAAAGAUGGCAUCUCGCUAUCACUUACAGCUGGGCCCGCGGCGCAUUAGCUAGUUGGUGAGGUAACGGCUCACCAAGGCGACGAUGCGUAGCCGACCUGAGAGGGUGAUCGGCCACACUGGGACUGAGACACGGCCCAGACUCCUACGGGAGGCAGCAGUAGGGAAUCUUCCGCAAUGGACGAAAGUCUGACGGAGCAACGCCGCGUGAGUGAUGAAGGUGUUCGGAUCGUAAAACUCUGUUGUCAGGGAAGAACAAGUACCGGAGUAACUGCCGGUACCUUGACGGUACCUGACCAGAAAGCCACGGCUAACUACGUG